AGAGCCGGAUACGCGGCCGCCGGUGAAUCCCGUUACAGGCGGGUUCUUGCCGGAGGAAAGUCCGGGCAGCAAAGGGCAGGGUGCUGGCUAACGGCCAGACGGUGUGAACCGAUGGAAAGUGCAACAGAAAACAUACCGCCGAUGGACCUCCUGUUGGGAGGUCACAGGCAAGGGUGAAAUGGCAGGGUAAGAGCCUACCGCGGUCCUGGUGACAGGUCCGGCAGUGCAAACCCCACCUGCUGCAAGUCCAAAUAGGAUCGCUUUCGGGUGGCCCGCCCGGCGGUCGGGUAGGAUGCUAGAGGCUGAUGGUAACAUCAGUCCCAGAUAAAUGGUCGCGGCCCCUCUUUUCAGCCAAGAUAAUGGUUGGAUGGUUCGUGAAUUCGAACCCUGGUGAUGCUGGAGGGGAACAGAACCCGGCUUAUUUCCGGCUCUGACC
rnacentral:RNase_P_RNA from 1 species